rnacentral:rRNA from 1 species
AUUGAACGCUGGCGGCAUGCCUUACACAUGCAAGUCGAACGGUAGAGGGGGCAACCCCUCGAGAGUGGCGAACGGGUGAGUAAAGCAUCGGAACGUGCCCAGUAGUGGGGGAUAGCCCGGCGAAAGCCGGAUUAAUACCGCAUGAGACCUACGGGUGAAAGGGGGGGAUCGCAAGACCUCUCGUUAUUGGAGCGGCCGAUGUCAGAUUAGGUAGUUGGUGGGGUAAAGGCCUACCAAGCCGACGAUCUGUAGCUGGUCUGAGAGGACGACCAGCCAGACUGGGACUGAGACGCGGCCCAGACUCCUACGGGAGGCAGCAGUGGGGAAUUGUGGACAAUGGGCGAAAGCCUGAUCCAGCCAUGCCGCGUGCGGGAAGAAGGCCUUCGGGUUGUAAACCGCUUUUGUCAGGGAAGAAAUCCUUUGAGCUAAUACCUCGGGGGGAUGACGGUACCUGAAGAAUAAGCACCGGCUAACUACGUGCCAGCAGCCGCCGUAACAC